UACGGGGGGAGCAAGCGUUGUUCGGAUCUACUGGGCGUAAAGGGCGCGUAGGCGGCCAGCACAAGUCAGUUGUGAAAUCUCCGAGCUUAACUCGGAAGGGUCAACUGAUACUGUGCGGCUAGAGUGCGGAAGGGGCAACUGGAAUUCUUGGUGUAGCGGUGAAAUGCGUAGAUAUCAGGAGGAACACCUAUUGCGAAGGCAGCUCGCUGGGACGUAACUGACGCUGAGACGCGAAAGCGUGGGGAGCAAACAGG
rnacentral:rRNA from 1 species